UCGUAACAAGGUUUCCGUAGGUGAACCUGCGGAAGGAUCAUUCACAAGAUUAUAAUAUUUUAUUACUUUGUGGAAAAUUUGGUUGAAUUUACAUGUUUUAUUACAAAAAAUUAAUUAUAAUUAAAAAAAUAAUUUUAAGAAAACCUCCAACAACGGAUCUCUUGGUUCCCAGAUCGAUGAAGAGCGCAGCGAAUUGCGAAAUGUGAUGUGUAUUGCAGUGAAUCAUCAAUUCUUGAACGCACAUGGCACCCCUUUUAGGGGUAUGCUUGUAUGAGGGUGUUUAAUAUGAAAUUGCUUUGGCUUUUUUUAAAUAAAUGGUUUUUCAAACAUUGUUACUAAUAAAGAUGAAAGAAUCAGUGCAACAAGCUGUGUUGAAUCUUUCAAUUAAAAUCUUUUUUAGUUAACAUUUUUUAACUAUUUACGCCUCAUAUCAAGCAAGACUACCCGCUGAACUUAAGCAUAUCAAUA
rnacentral:misc_RNA from 1 species